rnacentral:rRNA from 1 species
UGGGGAAUUUUGCACAAUGGGGGAAACCCUGAUGCAGCGACGCCGCGUGAUUUAGAAGGCCUUCGGGUUGUAAAAAUCUUUUCUAUGGGAAGAAAAUGACAGUACCAUAGGAAUAAGGACCGGCUAAUUACGUGCCAGCAGCCGCGGUAAUACGUAAGGUCCGAGCGUUGUCCGGAAUCAUUGGGCGUAAAGGGUACGUAGGCGGGUAAGCAAGUUAGAAGUGAAAUCCUAUAGCUCAACUAUAGUAAGCUUUUAAAACUGCUCAUCUGGAGGGAUGGAAGGGAAAGUGGAAUUCCUAGUGUAGCGGUGAAAUGCGCAGAUAUUAGGAGGAAUACCGGUGGCGAAGGCGACUUUCUGGCCAUAACCUGACGCUGAGGUACGAAAGCGUGGGUAGCAAACAGG